rnacentral:rRNA from 1 species
UACGAAGGGGGCUAGCGUUGCUCGGAUUGACUGGGCGUAAAGGGCGCGUAGGCGGUUCGUACAGUCAGACGUGAAAUUCCUGGGCUCAACCUGGGGGCUGCGUUUGAUACGUGCGGACUUGAGUGCGGAAGAGGGUCGUGGAAUUCCCAGUGUAGAGGUGAAAUUCGUAGAUAUUGGGAAGAACACCGGUGGCGAAGGCGGCGACCUGGACCGAGACUGACGCUGAGGCGCGAAAGCGUGGGGAGCAAACAGG